UUUCUUUGUUGGUUUUGCUUUUGGUGUCAUGUCUAAGAAAUGAUUGCCUCAUCCAAGGUCAUGAAGAUUUAUGCCUGGUUGCUUCUCAGAGUUUAAUCUCCCUUUGCUUUUGAAAAAAAAAAAAAAAACCCCACCCACAGAAUGGGAGAAAAUAAACACAGAUCAUAUAUCUGAUAAGGGACUCAUAUCCACAGUAUGUAAAGAACUCUUGCAACUCAACAAUUAAAACACAAAUGACCCAAAUUAAAAAUUAGCAAAGUACAUGCAUAGACAUUUAUUCAAAUAAAAUAUAUAAAUGUCUCAUUAACAUGUGCAAAGACACUCAAUGUCAUUAGUAAUUAGGAAAAUGCACAUCAUAGCCGCUGUGAGAUAGCACUUCUGGCCCUCUAGGAUGGCUACAGUGAAAAAGAUGGUGGAUAACAAGAUGUGGAGAGAAUGGAACCCUCGUGCCCUGCUGGUGGACACAAUGGUGCAGCUGCUUGGGAAGCCCAUAUGGCAGCUCAUGAAAAUAUUAAACACAGAGUUUCCAUACAACCCAGCCAUCCCACUCCUAGUAUAAAUCCAGGAGAAAUGAAAGCGUGUUCACACAGACACUUGUACACACAUUGUUUACAGCAGCAUGGGGGGAUGAAAGAAUUAACAGACAAAAGAGUUAACAAAAUGUGGGACCUCCACUAUCUGCAAUGAAUAGGUUUAUCCUUUUUUUAUGUCAAGUACAAAAGUCAAAUACAAUGGCCAUGUAGCAUAUGAUUCCACUGAUGUGAAAUGCCUGAGGCUAAAUCAUUAAGACAGAAAAUGAAUCAGUGGUUACCAGGGGCCGAGGCUCUGACUGCUAAUAGUAUGGAGUUUCUUUUGGGAUGAUGAAAAUAUUCUGGAAUUAGAUAGUGGUGAGGAUUGCAAAACUUUGUACAUAUAAAUAUUUUAAAAAUACCGAAUUGUACAGGUUAAAAGGGUGAAUUUUAUAGUGUACCAAUUAUGUCUUAGGAAGGCAUCCACAAGCUAUUUGUAGAUAAGAUGUUGGGGGUUGUAUUUAAAGAACAUUUCUUGGGGUAUCCUGGAGGCUGGAUGGUGUAUAUGACACAGUUCAGGCAUUCCAGCACUCUCCAGGGGCUUAGAAGACACAUAACUCAGUGAGAUGGUCACAGAGGGAGCUCAGCCAGGGUCUUAGCCUAAGACGAGCAUGCCUUCCCCCACUGCCCACUGCAGCCACAGCCUCAGGUGCGCAUUCUGUGUCUAGGGCUUGGUCACAGCCGACAAAUGCAGACAAGGAGGGUCAAUAAGCAGGGACGUGACAGGGUCCUCCCCUGGGACUGCAAUUCAUGAGGAUGACUGAAUGACGGCACGGAGAGUGCCACUGAAAGUCGAUAUUUAUUCUUCAUGUUUUCCGAGUGGAGAGGUCACACCAUGCCAAGUGGGGCCGCAUGGGGAAGCACCCAUGUCUGGCAAGAGGCAGAAAGGAGGAGGAGUGAGUGCAGAGACUGGGCUGCAGCUUGUGUUUUCUGUGGGAAAGGCAAGGCCUGAUGGGAAGGGCUUGGCACUGGACGGUUACAAUAGUGUCAGCAGGCUCUGGGCUCCGGGGGUGGUCUCUGGUUGCCUGGUACCCGGCUUUGGGGUGAUUUAGGACGGGGGAUAUACUGGCUUGGUGAGUAAGAGUUAGAUAAAGGGCGUGGCUUGGGGUAUGGAUUUGGGAUGGUUGGCUUGGUCACUCCAGGGUGAGCCCGUCGCUGGCUCUAGAUGCUGAGUAGUUCUGGAAAGAUCAGUCUCCCCCAUCAGGGAGGCCACACACACCACAGAGUCAAGAAUACAGAAAGCAAGGAAACAGUUAACAUUUUCUCCCCCCAGCACCCGUCCCCAAGAAAAAUCACAUUCUAUGAACGUGUUUCCAUGACUGUGGUUGGCUCCUCUAUUUUAAUGCCUAUAUUGGGGGUGUCUGGAGGGUCUGCCUUUCUGUUCAUGGCAGAGAUACUCAGGAUCACUCAAUGACUGGCUGGUUAAUUCAUAUUGUUGUUCUGUGAUUUCAUAUUCGAUCUUCAGUUCUGAUGAAUGGCUAGCACUCCUCCAAAUAAACUCCUCAAUCAAGUUUAAAGGUCCUACGUUGGGUGUUGCAAAUGGAUCGAGAGCCCUGUUUCCAUGAGUGCAAUCCUGGACCACUUAGGGGCAUCUGGGCCUGGGAAAACCCCAGCCAGGCUGUAGGAAAGACGCGGGAGGCAGCUGCGAAGAGCGCCUGGCUUUCUCAGCCAAGCAUUUGGCUCUCUGGAGACACACGCAGUUCUAUUCUGGCCUCAAAUCCUUCUAGGGGAUAGGGAGGUACCGAGAUGAAGCUGCCAAGUUUGGGCAAUUUUACCACUAAUCGUAUGAACACAAAUGGAAGAGGCAAAAUGAAAAUUGUUCCAUACAAUUGGACUCAAUGUGAACAAUUUGGGAUUUAUCAUGAAACACAGUAAUCAAAACAAAAAGGGUCCCUGCCCCAGAAAUAGUUUAAUAUCUUUGAGAAGAAAAGAAACAUAAGUGGUAAUAGGUUAGCCUAUGUGUUCUAGACUUCACUCUGGGAGGGGCUUAUAGAAAUGUCCCGAGAAAAGUCAAGGAAACUUCAAACCUGCUUCUUCCAGGUCCCAGGUUUGCCAAAUCCAGGAGGGAGUGUAGGUGCACAGACCCUGGCUGUGCCACAGUUUGUUCUGCUGCCAACCACGGCUGUUGGAAACAUUGAACGGCGGGUGGGGGUGCAUUCCAACAUCUCCAGGCCCCCGCUUACCUGAUGCAGAUUUGAGAGUAUGGCCAGGAGAGGCAGUGGCAAAGGCAUGUGGUUCCAGGCUGGCCCCAGGCACAAGGAUUUCUCUGCCCAAUGAAAUGGAUUCUUCCUUGACUUCUUAGAAAAUGAUGACAAUUAUUAGGCUCCUAAUAGACUGUUCCAUGAAGAGAGAGAAUUAAAAUGUACUCUUCCAAAGUCUAGUGUGUUGCUCACCCUCAAGUUUGGCUGUGGCUACUAUGAAUAAUGCUGUUAUGAAUAUUCAUGUUUAAGUUUUUCACUGAAUAUGCUUUCACUGUGCUUGGGGUUACACCUGAGAGUGGAAUUGCUAUGCAUAUGGGAAUUCUAUGCUUAACUUUUUGAGGAACUGCCAAGCUGUUCCAGGCUGCAACACUUCACAUUCCUGAGAGCAAGGUUUUAGGGUAAUUUCUCCACAUUCGCAUCCGCACUUGGUAUUUAACUUAAAAAAAAAUAUCGCUGCAUUAGUGGAUGUGAGGCACUAUCCCCCUGUUGUUUUGCAUUU
rnacentral:lncRNA from 1 species